GUUCCAGAUCUGUGGCGCAAUCGGUUAGCGCGUUUGGCUGUUAACCGAAAGGUUGGUGGUUCGAGCCCACCCAGGGACG